AGCGAACGCUGGCGGCGUGCCUAACACAUGCAAGUCGAACGUGAAAAGGGAAACCUGAGUAAAGUGGCGUACGGGUGAGUAACGCGUAGGUAAUCUACCCCAGAAUCUGGAAUAACCUGCCGAAAGGCGGGCUAAUACUUGAUAGAGCGAGGGAACUCGUAAGAGAGUUUUUCGGGAAAGGGAGCCCGCAAGGGCCUUCGUUCUGGGAUGAGCCUGCGUCUCAUUAGCUAGUUAGUAAGGUAACGGCUUACCAAGGCGAUGAUGAGUAGCUGGUCUGAGAGGAUGAUCAGCCACACUGGGACUGAAACACGGUCCAGACUCCUACGGGAGGCAGCAGUGGGGAAUCUUGCGCAAUGGACGAAAGUCUGACGCAGCCACGCCGCGUGAGUGAAGAAGGCCUUCGGGUUGUAAAGCUCUGUCGGAUGGGACGAACAUCUUCAUAGUGAAGAGCUAUGAGGAGUGACGGUACCAUCAAAGGAAGCACCGGCUAACUCCGUG
rnacentral:rRNA from 1 species